rnacentral:SRP_RNA from 1 species
GCUGGGCGUGGUGGUGGGCACCUGUAAUCCCAGCUACUUGGGAGGCCGAGGCGGGUGGAUCACCUGAGGUCAGGAGUUCUAGACCAGCCUGGCCAACAUGGUGAAACCCCAUCUCUA